AGAACAGUCUUCAAAUAAAAGUGGCUAAAAUAUUUGAUAAAUUACAUACUUUUCAAUAAUAGAUUACGCUUGACAAAUGUGUCAAUUAUAAAUAAACUUAAACGCGCUCUUACUUUGUAAUGAAUAAUGUAUCACGCAAAUUUAGUUUCCGUUGUUGCAAAAUCAUUUUAUCUUUUCGUGACAAGUGGACUAAAGUAAACUCGUAAGUCAGAGUGUAAAAAAAUAUAUUUCGUCUUUAUUAGUCUUGAUAGUAUAAAGUCUGUUGAAAUUAUUGUACAUUUUAGAAAUAGUUAUGGAAAUUUAAUUAUAUAUUGCAACUACGGUUUCUUAAGAUAAACUAUAAUUAUUAAUUAAUUUUUAGUAGCCUAGGAAAAACACGGCAUAUUUUUUGUAACAAGGAGAAUCUAAACUUUUAGAACAAAAAAAAAAAUGCAUCUUUGCAUCAGUACGAUAUAUACAUAGGUAUUAUUUAACUCAAAUUUUUUUAUCAAUUGGAAAAUACCCUUCAUAAAACACAUAAGAAAUAAUAAAAAAUUUAAUGGCAAAUGAAAUUUUCCCUAUAAUGUAUAUUAACGCUGGUCUUUUAUUGUUUAUUAAAUAUCAAAUAUCAAAUAAACAACUGUAUAUUAUUAAUAUCAAAAAUUGAAUUAGCUGCUAAGAUCAACAUUUACUGGCGGAGAAUUGCGCCAAUUUCUGUUAUACCGCAGAUAUCGAUAAUCGCAAUAUUUCUUGGUUCUUUAUUUUUCUCACUACUUCGAUGUCCGAAGAAAGAAGUGUUGUACCCUUUCGCUCGAUUGAGCAGUUAAUAUUAGAGUAAUGUUAUGCAGAUUACUAAAUAGUAUUAUGCACAUUAUGCAAACGAUAAGAUAACUGAUAUAUAAAUAUAUAUAUAAUGCAUUUAUAUUAUAUUAUAUUAUAUUCUUAUUAUAUACAGGGUGGCUGGUAACUGGUGGUACAAGCGGAAAGGGGGUGGUUCCACGCGAAAAAUGAAGUCGAAAAUAUAGAAUAAAAAUUUUUUUUUAAUUUUUCCAUCGAGACAACGAUCUACAGUGAGAUCCGUUAUAACGAGACGCGAUAAAGUGCACGCGUACCGAGCGAAAAUUCAAAGUCAAUUUUCUCGAAAACAAAGCCUCGAACGAGAAAUUUUUAUUCUAUAUUUUCGACUUCUUUUUUCGCGUAGAAUCACCCCCUUUCCGCUUGUACCACCAGUUACCAACCACCCUGUAUAUUAUACAUACAUAUAUAUAUAUAUAAGAAAACGAAGCAAAUCUAAGGUUUAUCAAUACAAUAACAGAUAGAUAUAUCUUUACUGAAUGUUUAACAACUUAAUUUAGACUCUAGACUAUGAUUGCAGUCAACACCAGAAUCUAUAGAUAGUUUUCCAUUCAAGUUGAUAUUAUGUACAUGGUAUUCACAGACCGUGCCGUGAAUGAGGUUUGAAGCUAGUGUUAAGAAUGAGAGAGUUAAAACAACGUAACGCCUAUUGGGAUUAAAGCGUUGAUAAAUACCGAGCACGAUCUCGAAGCACUACGAUCUAGGAGCAAUGGAGAGGUUUCAUGUGCGCCGGCGCAUUGCUUACGGAAAGGUAAGCGCCAGGCAUCUUUUCAUGCAUACACGCCGUUCCUCUUGCUUUUGUGUCUGUCUCUAUGAAGGAAAGCGGCUUAUAAUGGAGGUCGUUAUACGUUUAUACGAUACUUCGCAAAUAUUUCUUAUUUAUUCAGGUCAGAGAAAGUGGAAAGUUGUUUAUUCAAUAAUAAAUGAACUUUUCAAUUACAGCGUAUGAAUCGAAAGGACUUUAUUAAAUAUGAUAUCAAAGAUAUCAAAGGGAAUCGAAUUUGGCAAGUUGCCUAUAUUUACUCCAUCGUUUGAGCGAUUCGAAUUUAUUCGUUAUUCUAUGUUAUUUAAUAACUCAACUAAAAGAUAACGCAUUAGUUGCGCAAUGGAAGUUUUAUUAUACUGUAUUAAACUUAAAAAUAAAGCAAAGCUUCGAUAUAGCA